GAAAAAGGCCAGAUUUAAAUUUGUUUUCUAUGGGUUUUUGUAAGGUGCGUUUCCCCAACUCUACCACAAGAGGGAGUAUCACCAAAAGUGAGCGCUAGUUGUAGUAAGCUGCGCCAGGCUUAUGUUCCUCAGACAGAGGACUGCCUGCUGAAUGAACGCAACUGACGACUCUUGUCUGUACAAAACAGAAAAAUGCUUGAGGAAAGAAAAAGCCAGGAAGAAAACAACCAAGACCAGAAACAUUGAUGCCGUUGGAAUAGAACUCACGGAUGACUCUUACGGAAGGAUCGAUAGUACAAUUGACAAUGGCUGGCUAGGUGAUUCAGUCAUAGACAUGGCCCAUUCCAUUUUAAAAAGGCAGUUUCCCCUCGUUGGUGGUUUCCAACCUUGUGUCUAUGCCGAGACACCAUGUUUCAAGUCAGUUGUUGACACUUUUUUUAAGUUGUAAACACACCCUAAGACUUGUGGCCAACACUGGCGGUGAUGAAACGGCCUACAGGAGGGAGGUGGCCAGUCUGGUGUCAUGGUGUGAGGACAACAACCUCACCCUCAACACGGACAAGACAAAGGAGAUGAUAGUGGAAAUAAGGAAGGAGAGGAGACCUCAUCAGCCACUGUUCAUCGGGAGCUUGAAGUGGAGAGGGUGAGCAGCUUCAAAUACCUGGGUGUUCACAUCGGUGAGGACCUCACAUGGACACUUAACACCACACAGCUGGUUAGGAAGGCUCAACAGUGGCUGUACUUUCCGAAAAGGCUGAGGAAGUUUGGUAUGUCACCCAAGAUCCUCAGCAACUUCUACAGCUGUGUGGUUGAGAGCAUCCUGACCAACUGCAUCACUGUGUGGUACGGUAGCACUACAGCAAUGGACUGCAAACGCCUGCAGAGGGUGGUGAAGACUGCUGAGAGGAUCACCAAAACUCUACUGCCCUCUCUGCAGAGCAUCUACCACCUCAGAGUCCACAGGAGAGCUGCCUCCAUCCUCAAAGACCCCACCCACCCCCAACACGAACUGUUCACACUCCUACCCUCAGGCCGGAGGUACAGAAGUGUGAAAUGUAAGACUGUCAGAAUAAAGAACUCUUUCUUUCCCACUGCCAUCAGACUCCUGAACAGCUGACAGGAGUCUAUAACCAUGGAUUACCUCCUUGUAAACUGUCCUUGAUUGUUUACAUCUGUUUGCACAUUGCUGCCCUUUUUGCUGCUGUUCCUUGACUGUUUACAUCUGAUUACAUUGUUUGCACAUUUGCACAUUA